AUGCCACCUGCUCUGCAGACCAUAUCAGUUAGUCACAAAGCAAAGGCCAGGCCAGCCCAGCUGAAGAAACCCUGGGCCAGUAACACUCCAAUGUCACAAACACCACCUGCAGACCAGCGCCUCUGGGUAGCUACUGGCUGCCAGCAGAUGUCACAUGGGUCCCAAACACACCAUCCUCUGGAUAUAGGGCUGAUGGGCGGGCCAGUGCAACUGUGGUGGCAUCUCGCUGGUGGCCACCUGGGGAAGAUGUCAAGUGGCAUGCCCCUGAGAAGACAGAGACCCUGGCCUGCCCCUUCGCUACCGGGAAGCCAUAAACCGGGCCAAACAAGCCUGCCUCCGGAAAGGACUGGAGGCAGCUCCAGUGACUCCCACCUACCAUACCUGUUGCCUGCCGUCCAUGGGGACGAUGGCUGUCAGGGUCCUGUGACCCUCAGAAGGGUGUGGGAGAGAUGGGAAAACUGAGGGCUACAAGGGGGAUGCUGGCAGUUAGCAGUAAUCUGGGCUCAGGAUUCUGGGGCCCAGGCCUUCCCUGAAUUUGGGAAUACCCGGUGACUCACUUCCCCUUCGUUUUCUCGGCCCCAGCACCUACCACCGACCUUUGGUGGUGCAGCGGGGCUCCAACUCCAGCCAGUGGCUCAGUGUGUCUUAGAGUCAGGUGUAAGCGCAGGGGUGCGGGUC
rnacentral:lncRNA from 1 species